rnacentral:lncRNA from 1 species
UCGCUUAAGACCUUUAAGAAUUGUACAGCGACCCACCCCUGCCAAGUAGAAUACAGUAACGUAGUCGCAGCAAGUUUCAUCCCUUUACAAAAGAUUUUUAGCAAGUUAUUAAUUUACAAUACUUUCCCGCGAGAUAAACGUCUGAUAUUAAAUUUAUUAAAUGUUAAUUAAUACCUACAAAAAAUAAUUGAAAAAUAUAUUUAGAUUCAUAUUCGUUAACCAUACAGAAAACAUUGCUGUAUUACUGCAUGUAGUAUCAAUAAAUAAGAUGAUCAUUUCUAUUAAUGCAUGGAAUUAUAAAAAUUUAUAGAGCACUAUGUUUUUUAUAGCGAUGCAGAUAUCGCACAAUUCUUCAAUUCUUGUUGAUCACCGAUAUACGGUGAUGUCAUUGUACAUCACUGACUACCACCCCUGCAAGGAAUUAGCCUAUCUCUCCUCCCGCUGUUUUUCCUACCUUUUUUCCAUCCCUGCCGCGCAAGUUACCCCUGAGAGUCGCAUCGUGACUCUCCGUAUAUUCCCCCACCCUGUAUACAAGCUCAAUGGUAGACGCAGACCGCUUAUGGUAUCUAAAUAGCCGGUGCCUAGAGCGACACGUCUGACACGGUCCGAUAGGUGAAUGGACAGGACUCGUCUCUAUUCUCCGACAAGCGCCACACCAGUAAAUCAUGCACGUCGAAACGAUCGCAGGGGGUGGUUGGACGAUACACGCGUCACGCAUCGCAUAAGGCGCUUUGGAAAGUAGAAAAUCGGAAGUCCGUGCAGAUGCAUCGAGGUCAAGACAUCACCGACGAUCUAAACUCGAACCAGCGCUACCGCUAUUACUGUUUAUUUUUAUACAGUACUAUAUUAUGUGCACCGCUACUAUAUUGUGUUUAUACCGCAGCUGUAAGAAGAUGAUGUUAAAUAGGAGGGACAUGAACUGAGAAUGUUCAUGCCCAUGACGACCCUAAUAACUGGAGCACGCCGGAGAAAGGCAGCUUUCCUCGGAAAGAUUAUUCCUCGACGCAGCAACUUGGUUGCAACCCUUUGGGCGACGAUACACCGUCCGCGUACUCGUACUCAGCACUCGCGCGGAAAUCGUGCGUUACCGGAAGUCGCAUAUUUCGCAAGGGUGAGGAUCCGAGCAGCUUACCCCUCUCGCAUCCCUUGGCCGCGAGCCUUUUACGAGCUACCCCCACUUGCGGCCCGUUUCCCUACCCGACAAGAGAGGAGAUUCUCUUCUAUUGACGUACCAACCCCCUCCGGCGUCCUCCACCCCCGUGAACCCCUCAUCGCAGGCUGCUCCCACGCACACCACCACCACCACCACCACCGUUAUCCCUCUGGCUCACCACAGCAGAGUCUGACGUAACGCGACGUUACGUCAGACCGUCCUCGCAGGCCGCUGCUGCAACGGGUGGUCUCCGACCACCCUCGCGCCCAUCUCGCCACCACCACCGCCACCACCGUUUCUUAUCGCCGCAACGCGGUGCUUCUUUAUAAUCUCGACCCCGCGUUCGCGAGUAAUACCGCGGCGUGUGAAAAAACACGUCGUGCCAGAUAGAGGCAGAAGAGAGCGGAUGCUCUAGCCAUAGGCGUCGCCAAAGCUUUUUACGAGGAUCAAUUCUAAUUUAUUAUAUUCUGUUAUUACUUUUUCUUUUCAGUCAUUUCUAUUUGAGACAAUGAUUUUAUAAUAAUGAUAAAGGUAUUUCGAUGUCGGGGAUAAUUGAGCUGCACGUCUUGAAUUUAGGACGUGUUCAAUUAUUGUAACUGAGAUGAUCUCUCAAGGUCUGGCUAUGCCACCCCUUGCCGUCACUUGCGCCGUUGCAAGUAAUUCCAGGAGCUGGGGACUCCUGGAAAAUUUGCUUACUGACCUCUGUAAAGUUUGUGGUGUCAUAGAUAGCAUAAUGACUGUCGUAGUUUCGAUUCCGAGAAAUUUAGUUAUAUUCUACAUAGAGUAAAAAGGAGGAGUACAUUCGUAGAACGAUCUUGUAACAUCUACUACAUAUAUCAGACCUGAACCUUGUAAUUUUUAAUUAAUUCUCCAAGUUUGGAGAAUAAAUUCAAAAUUUAAAUUCUACAUACGAAAGUUCGGUGACACGUUACCUGUCUUCCAGUUUCUUUUACAUAAUAAAUAUCUUGGAAAUUAAUUUAAUUGCAGCAGCAUGUGUUUAUGAUUCAGUUUUACAGAAAUAUUUUUGUAUUUUUGGAAUGACACAGUCAUCAAAUAUGAUUAAUCAUUUUAUUCAAUUAUUAUAUUUAUUAAUUUUCAGUAAAACGUUCCAAAGUAACCAAAAAA